GAUAAACGCUGGCGGCGCACAUAAGACAUGCAAGUCGAACGGACUUAACUCAUUCUUUUAGAUUGAGAGCGGUUAGUGGCGGACUGGUGAGUAACACGUAAGCAACCUGCCUAUUAGAGGGGAAUAACAGUGAGAAAUCAUUGCUAAUACCGCAUAUGCUAACAGUAUCGCAUGAUACAGUUAGGAAAGGAGUAAUCCACUAGUAGAUGGGCUCGCGUCUGAUUAGCUAGUUGGUGGGGUAAUGGCCUACCAAGGCGACGAUCAGUAGCCGGACUGAGAGGUUGAACGGCCACAUUGGGACUGAGAUACGGCCCAG
rnacentral:rRNA from 1 species